CCUACGGGGGGCAGCAGUGAGGAAUAUUGGUCAAUGGACGAGAGUCUGAACCAGCCAAGUAGCGUGAAGGAUGACUGCCCUAUGGGUUGUAAACUUCUUUUAUAUGGGAAUAAAAUGUUCCACGUGUGGGAUUUUGUAUGUACCAUAUGAAUAAGGAUCGGCUAACUCCGUGCCAGCAGCCGCGGUAAUACGGAGGAUCCGAGCGUUAUCCUGAUUUAUUGGGUUUAAAGGGAGCGUAGGUGGAUUGUUAAGUCAGUUGUGAAAGUUUGCGGCUCAACCGUAAAAUUGCAGUUGAAACUGGCAGUCUUGCGUACAGUAGAGGUGGGCGGAAGUCGUGGGGUAGCGGUGAAAUGCUUAGAUAUCACGAAGAACUCCGAUUGCGAAGGCAGUUCACUGGACUGCAACUGACACUGAGGCUCGAAAGUGUGGGUAUCAAACAGGAUUAGAUACCCUUGUAGUC
rnacentral:rRNA from 1 species